UACGUAGGGUCCGAGCGUUGUCCGGAAUUACUGGGCGUAAAGCGUGCGUAGGUGGUUGUUUAAGUCUGUUGUGAAAGCCCUGGGCUCAACCUGGGAACUGCAGUGGAAACUGGACAACUAGAGUGUGGUAGAGGGUAGCGGAAUUCCCGGUGUAGCAGUGAAAUGCGUAGAGAUCGGGAGGAACAUCCAUGGCGAAGGCAGCUACCUGGACCAACACUGACACUGAGGCACGAAAGCGUGGGGAGCAAACAGG
rnacentral:rRNA from 1 species